UGGCUCAUGCUCAUUGGCUUCUUCAUUUAUCACGAAAGAGAAAAAAAAAAGUCGUGUCUUCUCUUUCGUAAGUCGGCUGGUCUCUCUCUUCUCCGAUUUCAUCGUCGCAUCUCUCUCUUUUCGUCAUCGAUUCUGUCGAAAUCUCCAACGGAGAUGAUGUGUGAUCCGUUUCUUCGUCGUCGAUUCUCUCUCCCUUCAUCGAUUUUGUCGAAAUCGCUUCGUCGGCUGGUGUCUUUCUUCGUGGUCGAUUCUUCAUCGAUCUGUUUCUUUCUUCGUCGAUGUUCUCCUCCAGAUCCGUCCAUGCAAUCACCGUGAAGAUUUCCGAGCUUGGUAUCUAUCCUGCUGUGGAUCCUCUGGAUUCAACAUCCCGUAUGCUCUCACCUCACAUUCUGGUGAGGUCUUUUCCAUUCCAUGUUGCUGAGGUCUUCACAGGUGCCCCUGGCAAAUACGUCGACCUUAAUGAAAACAUCAACAGUUUCCAGGUAUGUAUAUGCCCAUAUGACUUUCUUCCCUGUUGCAGGGUUUACUCGAUGGCAAGUACAAUGAUCUUCCUGAACAAUCGUUUUACAUGGUUGGUGGCAUCGACGAGGUGGUUGCAAAAGCAGAGAAGAUUUAUAAGGAGGCAGCAGCUUAAGUGCUUGAUUCAUCUCUUUUGGAUGCCCUCUUCUCAUUUUCUUCUUUUGCCUCCUUUACUUGUUGAAAUAAAGGUUUUAAGUCUUGCAGAUUCUUGUUGCAAUGUAUGAUUAUGAUUGCUUGAUUUUAGUCUCUUGUUUUGUGUUCAGACUUCAUAGAAUGGUGUAAGUCAUUUAAUCAUCA